rnacentral:rRNA from 1 species
GACAGAGGUGCCGAGCGUUAGGCGGAAUCACUGGGCUUAAAGCGUGUGUAGGCGGGUCCGUAAGUACCUUGUGAAAUCCCACGGCUCAACCGUGGAACUGCUUGGUAUACUGCGGAUCUUGAGCCACCUAGGGGCAAGUGGAACAAACGGUGGAGCGGUGAAAUGCGUAGAUAUCGUUUGGAACGCCAAUGG